UGUAAAGUUUCGUGAAUCAAUAUUUUUACUCGUGAACUAAAAAAGAAAAAAUAAUAAAAAUUAAAGAUAUGGAAGAAAAACAAAAAAACGCGAUUGUAUACUUGAUUACGCAGAUUGCUGCCAGUAAUAAGAAGUUGGCAAAAAUACGGAAAAGACGACAACUUAGGUUGGAAAAAAUAUUAACUGAGAUAAAAAUGCAAAAUUCCUUAUUGCUUUUUGUAAUAAAUAACAAUAGGCCAAAAUGUUUGUGGAAACACGUAAGCAAUUACAUCAUUUUAUAAAAUUCCCACUUGGCGUUGUAUUGUAGGAAAGGCGCGGUAAUUUUUGGGAGUUCGACGUUGCUUUUAAUAGUGACCAAUUCUUCAAGGAGAGCUCCAGAAUGAGUCGGCAAUCAUUCAAAAUUUUAUGUAAUCAGCUAACAAACAUUGGCAAAUGUGAUACUACAUACAGGCAAUGUAUUCCCUUAGAAAAAGAAUAGCUAUCGCUUUGUAUGCCCUUGGUUCUUCUGCUGAGUACAGAACAGUUGGAAAACUAUUCGGGGUUUCCAAAGCGUCUGUAUGUUGUAUCCUUAAAGACUUUUGCAGAGCGGUGUGGGACAUACUAUCACCUAAAUAUUUCGCCAGCUCAUUUCUUACGCAAGAAAAAAUUACGGAGUGCGUUGAAGGAUUUAGAAAAAUUGGAUUUCCCCAAUGUCUGGGCGCAGUAGGUAAGUUUAUGAAUUUGAAAUAUUUUACCCCUAACAUGCAAAUACAAUUUAUUUCAGAUGGAUGUCACAUUAAGGUUAGGCCCUACGCAUCUGAUGCUGUUGACUAUUUCAACUAUAAAGGUUGGUACUCAAUGGUUUUACUAGCCCUCGUAGACUACAAGUAAGUUAACAACAUACAUGUUUUGGAAAAUACUUAAAACAUUUUUUUUUUGAUAUAGGUUUAUGUACAUUAAUGUUGGAGCACCUGGUCGUUGUAAUGAUUCCCAAAUAUUUGAAAAAUCCGACUUGAAAAGAAUGUUUCAAAACCCUCUGCUUAAAGAGAAUGCGAAAAAACUUUGUGACACUAAUGUCCCAAUUGUAGUUCUAGGAGACUCGGUGUUUCGCUUUAGUCCGUUUCUAAUAAAACCCUAUCCCUAUAACCAAGCCGCUGAGGAUCACGAGAAUAUUUUCAAUUACCACUUAUCUAAAUCUCGAAGGGUUGUGGAGAUUUGGCCACCUGAAGGCAAGGUUUAGAUGGAUAGGGAAAGGAUUUGACAAAGAUAUUAAAAACGCUAUAUUAAUAAUAAAAUGUUCUUGCGUCAUGCACAAAUUUGUAAAUGAAAUGAAAUGAAUGAUAGCAUAAACACGAAAUGGUUGCAAAUGCAAACAAAUUUCGAAAGCGCACACCCCCGAGAGCAACCUGAUCCAUUAUUCCGACGACCCUAAUGCAGAGAACAUCAGAAAAUCAAUAGCUCUAUUUCUAUGUUCCUCGUCUACACACGGCAAUUCUUCCUGGGAAUAAAGCGUAAUGGAAGAGCUGUUAAGGGGUGAUGCACAGUCUACAACUUCGUGAACUGUUAUAAAUUAGUUUAUAAAAAUAAAUAUAAACUUUCCAAA